GUUAAUAUAGUCUAAAUAAGACAUUAGAUUGUGAUUCUAAUAAUAGAAGUUAAACUCUUCUUAUUGACC
rnacentral:tRNA from 3 species